rnacentral:rRNA from 1 species
GGAUUAGAUACCCUGGUAGUCCACGCCGUAAACUAUCAAUACUCGUUUUCGGCGAUAUACAGUCGGAGACUAAGCGAAAGUGAUAAGUAUUGCACCUGGGGAGUACGAUCGCAAGGUUGAAACUCAAAGGAAUUGACGGGGGCCCGCACAAGCGGUGGAGCAUGUGGUUUAAUUCGAUGAUACGCGAGGAACCUUACCAGGGCUUAAAUGUAGAGGGAAUAUUUUGGAAACAGAAUAGCCUUCGGGCCGUCUACAAGGUGCUGCAUGGCUGUCGUCAGCUCGUGUCG